AAAUAGUGAUAAUCAUUAUCAAUGCAUUUCUCGGCCUAGGAAUCGUAUAAGAACUGGUUCAUCGACGAAUGGCUAUAUCUUAGUUCAUGCGAAUGGAGGAUUAAACCAAAUGAGAACAGGGAUAUGUGAUAUGGUUGCUAUUGCUAAAAUAAUGAAUGCCACUCUGGUGCUUCCUUCUCUUGACCAUGAAUCGUUUUGGACCGAUACUAGUGAUUUUAAAGAUCUUUUCGAGUGGAGACACUUCAUUGAAGUUCUCAAGGAUGAUAUUGAGAUUGUUGAGUCGUUGCCACCGGAAUAUGCAGCUGUGAAACCCCUUCAAAAGGCACCCGUGUCAUGGUCAAAGGCUAGU
rnacentral:misc_RNA from 1 species